rnacentral:rRNA from 1 species
AUUGAACGCUGGCGGCAUGCUUUACACAUGCAAGUCGAACGGUAACAGGGUGCUUGCACCGCUGACGAGUGGCGAACGGGUGAGUAAUGCGUCGGAACGUGCCGAGUAGUGGGGGAUAACGCAGCGGAAGUUGUGCUAAUACCGCAUACGUACUGAGGUAGAAAGUGGGGGACCUUCGGGCCUCACGCUAUUCGAGCGGCCGACGUCUGAUUAGCUAGUAGGUGAGGUAAAGGCUCACCUAGGCGACGAUCAGUAGCGGGUCUGAGAGGAUGAUCCGCCACACUGGGACUGAGACACGGCCCAGACUCCUACGGGAGGCAGCAGUGGGGAAUUGUGGACAAUGGGCGAAAGCCUGAUCCAGCCAUGCCGCGUGUCUGAAGAAGGCCUUCGGGUUGUAAAGGACUUUUGUCAGGGAGGAAAUCCCUAGUGCUAAUAACACUGGGGGAUGACAGUACCUGAAGAAUAAGCACCGGCUAACUACGUGCCAGCCGCCGCGGUAA